rnacentral:rRNA from 1 species
CACACCGCCCGUCACAUCACGAAAGCCAGUUGUACUAGAAGCCGGUGACUCAACCGCAAGGGGAUAGCCGUCCAAGGUAUGACUGGUGAUUGGGGUG